AGUGAACGCUGACGGUAGGCCUAACACAUGCAAGUCGAGCGGCAGCACAGUAAGAGCUUGCUCUUACGGGUGGCGAGUGGCGGACGGGUGAGGAAUACAUCGGAAUCUACUUUUUCGUGGGGGAUAACGUAGGGAAACUUACGCUAAUACCGCAUACGACCUACGGGUGAAAGCAGGGGAUCUUCGGACCUUGCGCGAUUGAAUGAGCCGAUGUCGGAUUAGCUAGUUGGCGGGGUAAAGGCCCACCAAGGCGACGAUCCGUAGCUGGUCUGAGAGGAUGAUCAGCCACACUGGAACUGAGACACGAUCCAGACUCCUACGGGAGGCAGCAGUGGGGAAUAUUGGACAAUGGGCGCAAGCCUGAUCCAGCCAUACCGCGUGGGUGAAGAAGGCCUUCGGGUUGUAAAGCCCUUUUGUUGGGAAAGAAAAGCGGCAGGUUAAUACCCCGCUGUUCUGACGGUACCCAAAGAAUAAGCACCGGCUAACUUCGUG
rnacentral:rRNA from 1 species